rnacentral:rRNA from 1 species
AGUGAACGCUGGCGGUAGGCCUAACACAUGCAAGUCGAACGGCAGCACAGUAAGAGCUUGCUCUUAUGGGUGGCGAGUGGCGGACGGGUGAGGAAUACAUCGGAAUCUACUUUUUCGUGGGGGAUAACGUAGGGAAACUUACGCUAAUACCGCAUACGACCUACGGGUGAAAGCAGGGGAUCUUCGGACCUUGCGCGAUUGAAUGAGCCGAUGUCGGAUUAGCUAGUUGGCGGGGUAAAGGCCCACCAAGGCGACGAUCCGUAGCUGGUCUGAGAGGAUGAUCAGCCACACUGGAACUGAGACACGGUCCAGACUCCUACGGGAGGCAGCAGUGGGGAAUAUUGGACAAUGGGCGCAAGCCUGAUCCAGCCAUACCGCGUGGGUGAAGAAGGCCUUCGGGUUGUAAAGCCCUUUUGUUGGGAAAGAAAAGCAGCAGGUUAAUACCCCGCUGUUCUGACGGUACCCAAAGAAUAAGCGCCGGCUAACUUCGUG